UACAGAGGUCUCAAGCGUUGUUCGGAUUCAUUGGGCGUAAAGGGUGCGUAGGCGGCGCGGUAAGUCGGGUGUGAAAUCUCAGAGCUCAACUCUGAAACUGCACUCGAUACUGCUCUGCUUGAGGACUGGAGAGGAGACUGGAAUUCACGGUGUAGCAGUGAAAUGCGUAGAUAUCGUGAGGAAGACCAGUGGCGAAGGCGGGUCCCUGGACAGUUCCUGACGCUGAGGCGCGAAGGCCAGGGGAGCAAACGGG
rnacentral:rRNA from 1 species